rnacentral:rRNA from 1 species
AUGCCACCGAAGAAGCGCCUGCACCUGUCGCCCGCUCUUCCCAAGCUGGAAGACUAUGUCGAGGAAGCUGCUCCUGCUGUCUCUACCUCUGGCACAGAAGGUAGCAUGGAUGAUUCUGAGGAGGAAGUUGGCGACAGCAGCAGCAGCGGCGGGGACAACGAAGACGGUGGCAGCCAUUCGUCGCAGAUUGACGGUGCCGACAUGGACGACCCAUCCAAAGUGCACAUCUUUGUCAAGAAUCUUGCCGGCAGGAAAAUCUGUCUCAGAGGGGUCCACUUGACAGACACCGUUUACACCAUCAAGGCAAAGAUCCAGGAGCAGUACCGCCUCGUCUUCGACGGGGUGCAGCUGGAAGACAGCCGUACAUUGGCUGAUUAUGGCAUCAAGCAUGAUUCCACGCUUGACCUCCAAGAAAAGAUGCAAAUCUUCGUGACGGAGACGCUGAAAGGAAGGACCAUCACUCUUCAGGUCGACAGCCUAGACACCAUUGACAAGGUGAAGGCCAAGAUCGAAGACAUUGAGAGGUUUCCCAAGGUCCAGCAGUGCCUCAUCUUUGUCAACAAACAGCUAGAGGACGACAGGCGCACCUUGGCUGACCACAACAUUUCGAAAGGGUCCACUCUUCUCCUCAUACUCCUCCCGUGUAGGCCAGGAGAAAGUAGGAUGAUCCAAAUCUUUGUCAAGUCCCUGGACGGGAAGACCCUGACCCUUGAGGUCAGGAGCUCGGACACUAUCAUCAGUGUUAAGGUGAAGAUCUAUGAGAAAGAGUCCAUUCCCCCUAGACAGCAGCGCAUCCUCUUUCGUGGCGAGCAGCUGGAGGACCAGCGCACCCUGGCGCACUACAAGAUUCAAAGCGAGUCUACCAUCACUCUGGUGCUCCGCCUUUGUGGUUGCUGA